GUGAAUCAUCGAAUCUUUGAACGCAUAUUGCGCCUUCUGGUAUUCCGGAAGGCAUGCUUGUUUGAGUAUCAGUAACAACCUCAACUCCUUCUUCAUUGCGGAGAAAGAGUUGGAUUUGAGCAUUUCCACAAGUUCGUCUUGGAGGAUUGCUUGAAAUAUGAGGUUCGGCCGGCAGUUGCCUGGGCUACAAGCAUUUCAUACUUAAUCCCGUCAAACGGAUUAUAUCCUUUGCUGCAGCCAACAUACAGGGUAACUUUGCCAGUGUUCCGACUGAUGCAGGAAAGUUGAGGACUUUGGUUCUCUUCUAAACUCGAUCUCAAAUCAAGUAAGACUACCCGCUGAACUUAAGCAUAUCAAUAAGCGGAGGA
rnacentral:rRNA from 1 species